AACAUCGCGCACCUGCGGGAACCUGCGGAAGGAUCAUUACCGAGUUUACAACUCCCAAACCCCUGUGAACAUACCAAUUGUUGCCUCGGCGGAUCAGCCCGCUCCCGGUAAAACGGGACGGCCCGCCAGAGGACCCCUAAACUCUGUUUCUAUAUGUAACUUCUGAGUAAAACCAUAAAUAAAUCAAAACUUUUAACAACGGAUCU
rnacentral:misc_RNA from 1 species